GGGCGUAAAGAGCUCGUAGGUGGUUUGUCGCGUUGUUCGUGAAAUCUCACGGCUUAACUGUGAGCGUGCGGGCGAUACGGGCAGACUUGAGUACUGCAGGGGAGACUGGAAUUCCUGGUGUAGCGGUGGAAUGCGCAGAUAUCAGGAGGAACACCGGUGGCGAAGGCGGGUCUCUGGGCAGUAACUGACGCUGAGGAGCGAAAGCGUGGGGAGCGAACAGGAUUAGAUACCCUGGUAGUCCACGCCGUAAACGGCGGGUACUAGGUGUGGGUUUCCUUCCUUGGGAUCCGUGCCGUAGCUAACGCAUUAAGUACCCCGCCUGGGGAGUACGGCCGCAAGGCUAAAACUCAAAGAAAUUGACGGGGGCCCGCACAAGCGGCGGAGCAUGUGGAUUAAUUUCGAUGCAACGCGAAGAACCUUACCUGGGUUUGACAUGCACAGGACGCCGGCAGAGCAUGUCGGUUCCCUUGUGGCCUGUGUGCAGGUGGUGCAUGGCUGUCGUCAGCUCGUGUCGUGAGAUGUUGGGUUAAGUCCCGCAACGAGCGCAACCCUUGUCUCAUGUUGCCAGCGGGUAAUGCCGGGGACUCGUGAGAGACUGCCGGGGUCAACUCGGAGGAAGGUGGGGAUGACGUCAAGUCAUCAUGCCCCUUAUGUCCAGGGCUUCACACAUGCUACAAUGGCCGGUACAAAGGGCUGCGAUGCCGCGAGGUUAAGCGAAUCCUUUUAAAGCCGGUCUCAGUUCGGAUCGGGGUCUGCAACUCGACCCCGUGAAGUCGGAGUCGCUAGUAAU
rnacentral:rRNA from 1 species